CAAUGUCUCUGGCAUCACUCAAGAGAAAAGAUCUAACUGAUUAGAAGGAUAUGCUAAGACAUGAAGGCCUUGAGAUCAGUUAUAGAUCCAAGGAAAGACAAAAAAAGAAUGAUUUACCUUGAAAAGGUGAAGAAAUAUGGUUUUCUCAAUUCUCUAUAGAUAAAAUUCAGAUUUCACCAUAGGAGCCAUCCCAUCUCUAUAAAGACUCUUGGUUUUACUGAAAUUAACAAUGUUGAAAAUAACCCUCUGGAAGAGAGAGAGAGAGAGAGAAGAUCAUCAGAAGACCAAGCUGCGUAAGUUUCCAAUUUCCUAUAACGUAGUUUCAAAGAAGUAGAAAUGCCAACAGUAGAAAUUUUCAAGUUUAGACAAAAUUUAUGAAAUAGAAAAACCACAGUUGAGACUGAAAAUCUGUGUUCUAGUUCUGGUCUGGUAUUCACAAUCCUGUACAAUCCAGCCACUUGUUAUGUCCUACUUUCUGUUUUGAAGUAAUCCUGCAC